CCUUUGUACAAGAUGUUCUGUUGUAUAAAUAGCAAAUAGAGCAUUUUGUAUGAAGGGA
rnacentral:pre_miRNA from 1 species